UAAGGUAGCAUAAUAAUUUGCCUCUUAAUUGGGGGAUAGAAUGAAUGGAUAGACGUAUACUAACUGUCUCAAAUUUACUUAAUUGAAUUUAAUUUUAAAGUGAAAAAGCUUUAAUAAACAAAAAAGACAAGAAGACCCUGAUGAAUUUUUUAACUAUCUUUGUAAUUUUCAAAGUAUCUUUUUGGUUGGGGCAACCGAAAAGGAAAAGCAUCCUUUUCUUCUUUAAUUUUUGGUGGAAUAAUUACCAUUUAUAUAAUGAUUUAAAAGAAAAUUACCGCAGGGAUAACAGCAUUAUUUUUUAUUAAAGUUCUUAUUUAAUAAAAAGUUUGUGACCUCGAUGUUGGACUAAAGUAACUUUUGGGUGCAGCAGCUCAAAAAGUUAGACUGUUCGUCUAUUAAAACUUUACAU
rnacentral:rRNA from 1 species